rnacentral:rRNA from 1 species
AGACCUGGCGGAGGCCUAACACAUGCAAGUCGAGCGCGCCCUUCGGGGUGAGCGGCGGACGGGUUAGUAACGCGUGGGAACGUACCCAGAUCUACGGAAUAGCCUUUGGAAACGAAGAGUAAUACCGUAUACGCCCUUCGGGGGAAAGAUUUAUCGGAUUUGGAUCGGCCCGCGUUAGAUUAGAUAGUUGGUGGGGUAACGGCCUACCAAGUCUACGAUCUAUAGCUGGUUUUAGAGGAUGAUCAGCAACACUGGGACUGAGACGCGGCCCAGACUCCUACGGGAGGCAGCAGUGGGGAAUCUUGGACAAUGGGCGCAAGCCUGAUCCAGCCAUGCCGCGUGAGUGAUGAAGGCCCUAGGGUCGUAAAGCUCUUUCGCCAGGGAUGAUAAUGACAGUACCUGGUAAAGAAACCCCGGCUAACUCCGUGCCAGCAGCCGCGGUAAUACGGAGGGGGUUAGCGUUGUUCGGAAUUACUGGGCGUAAAGCGCGCGUAGGCGGGUUGUUAAGUUAGAGGUGAAAUCCCGGUGCUCAACUCCGGAACUGCCUUUAAUACUGGCAACAUAGAGUUCGAGAGAGGUGAGUGAAUUCCGAGUGUAGAGGUGAAAUUCGUAGAUAUUCGGAGGAACACCAGUGGCGAAGGCGGCUCACUGUCUCGAUACUGACGCUGACGUGCGAAAGUGUGGGGAAGCAUACAGGAUUAUCAUACCCUGUAGUCCACACUGUAAAUGAUGAGUGCGAGUCGUCGGGUAGCAUGCUAUUUCAGUGACUCGCCUCUGAGAUUAAAGCAUUCCAGUCUUGUCGAGUAGCGUCGCAAGAUUAUAACCUUGAUUGAUCUGACGU